rnacentral:rRNA from 1 species
UACGUAGGGGGCGAGCGUUGUCCGGAUUUAUUGGGCGUAAAGAGCGUGUAGGCGGCCAGGUAGGUCGGUUGUGAAAACUAGAGGCUCAACCUCUAGACGUCGACCGAAACCACUUGGCUAGAGUCCGGAAGAGGAGAGUGGAAUUCCUGGUGUAGCGGUGAAAUGCGCAGAUAUCAGGAAGAACACCCGUGGCGAAGGCGGCUCUCUGGGACGGUACUGACGCUGAUGCGCGAAAGCCAGGGGAGCAAACGGG